CCAUCGAUCUCAGCGCAUCCAACAGACGAGGCCACCAGUUGCGCAUCUCGGCGAAGCGGCAGCGCGGCACGUAGGCGUACUUCUCGCGUACUUUCCGUUGAGGGAAACGCCACUCCAUCGCUCUUUGUCUUUUUCGCCGGCGCGUGCGGGCGUGCUUGUGUGGUGAUAGCGGUGACUGCUGACCGAGAAAGCCUCUUGCACCACUGCCUGUGCCUGCGUGCGCAGCAUCGAUCGCCAUCUGCUCCUUCCUCACCGCGGAACUCAUCCCAUCAGCUGUACACGUGCACCGAGAACGGCAAAUGGAGCUUGCUCUUGGCCACGCAGAGUCGCUGGCGAGCGCACCACUGCAUGCACCGCCACGCACACUCUGCAUUGUCCUUCUGCACCACGGCUAUCGCUCCAAAGCCAGUGACUUUCGGUACUUGUGCCGGGUGUGCAAGCAGGCGCUAAAGGACCUCAAGACGAACGCAACGAAAGCCAAUGACGGGGCGCCGCCUCUGCCUACGCCGCGCUUCGUAUUCAUCCUUCCUCGCGACAACGACGGCCUUAAAAUGGAUGCCGGUGUGCUUGCCUGCGCGCGUCGCUACGUCCGCCAGGUCUGCCUUACUGUGUAUGCAAUUGUGGCCGAGGAGCUUGGCAUCAGUGAUGAGCAGAGCUGUGUCGCCGCCAAGGCGACUGGUGCCACUGCAGACAGCGCAACAACGGCGGUGAAGCACAAGCUGUGCUUCAGCGCUGUGGGUCACUCGAUGGGCGGCCUCAUCCUGCGCGCCGCGCUCCCCGAGCUGAUAAAGAAUAUCGAGGAAAAAUACGAGGCGUUCAAGGAGGUGUGCGAGGUGCACUGGGACGUCUUCUGCACCUUGGCGACGCCUCACCUCGGCCUGAGGUAUAUGCAUUCUAAAAGGACAGCAUUCCUGGGCCGGCACGUCGGGUGUCAUCUGUGGAGGGCAAUGGCGGAUCUGUUCUGCAGGAACAGCGUCGUGGGAGUGGACCUUGUUUCGGACGCCUGCCUGGCGGCCUGGUCUCGGUUCAAGCGGCGCGUGCUGGUGAACGUUGUCAACGAUGACACCGUUCUGGCCUACAGCAGCAGCUUCGUGACGACCUUGCGCGUUUUGAGGCGUGUCGGCGCGUCGCUUCCUUCAACGGAUGAGGAGCUCGCAGAUGCGCGCUCUACAAAAAAGAAGAACGACUACCUGCACUCUGACAGCUGUGUUCUUCAACUCGCCCGCCUUGGCGUCAAGUGCGCGUCGUCGAGAAAGGAGCUGUGCGACAACGGUGUGAUUUUCACAAAUCUAUCUCCUGAGCUGUGGCCGCUCGAUGUGCUCGUGGAGGAACGCGCGCUGGCGGAGCGCAUCUUGAUGCAUGUGGCGCCGCUGGAGCUGCAUCUCGUCGACUUCCGCCCACGGUGCGCUCGUCUUACGUCGGCGGCUGCCUCUCGUGGGACGGGCGGCGGUAAUGCGGCACGCAGGCCUGGUCUCCUGGCGAGGGAGAUGAUGAUAAUAGGGGCGACCCACUCUUGCCACAUGGCCUUGGUGUGUAAGAAGCCCUUCCGAUACCCCUCCGUCUUUGGGUUCGUUUCGGAGUACAUUGCCAAGGACUUGCUUUUGGCCCCGCUUGGGGGCUCUGAGUUUGUGUCGCUUCCGCAGGAUGGGCUCUUACAGUAUGGUGCGGCUUGCAACGGUUGCGUCGCGGAGGUCAGCGGCCACAGGGGCAUGCUGGAUGCCGCUGAGGUCUGUGCGGCGCCUGCACGUUCGGCUAACGCGUGAGGAGGCCGUCCUCACGGCUUCAUGCAUCUCGCGCCUUGGCGUGUUUCUCUCCGUGUGUGCAACACCUUGACGCUCCUUGGCGGGGAACGUCGGUGAGCCCUUUUCAUUAUCAGGGACACGGUGCCGGCGCUCCAGUACCUUGCACACUAAAGCACCGUUCUUUUCUCUUUUUUUUUGCCUGCCUUUCGUUCUUUCCUGUUUCUUCUCUUGCGCCCUCUAUCUACGCUGUCCAGCUCUUCAGAAAGGGUUGCCUUCGCCUGGUUUCUCUGUUUUCUUUCCUUCCCAUCCCAUGCGCACACACCACCACUACCGGCAGCCUCAGACGAUGCCGGUGGCGGUGGUGGUGGUGGUGUGUGCGCAUGGAGUCUCAAUUCGAAGCAAAAAAUGGGCUUGAAACAUCAAAACGCGACAACAAGACGACAUCAAAAAACGAAAGACGCAACAGCAACAAC
rnacentral:misc_RNA from 1 species